rnacentral:rRNA from 1 species
UUAUGGCUCAGGAUGAACGCUGGCUGCGUGCUUAACACAUGCAAGUACGAACGGAGUUUUAACGGAAGUUUCGGAUGGAAGUUAGAACUUAGUGGCGGACGGGUGAGUAACGCGUGGGUAACCUGCCUCAUACAGGGGGGAUAACAGUUAGAAAUGACUGCUAACACCGCAUAAUAUAGCGAAACCGCAUGAUUUUGCUAUCAAAUAUUUAUAGGUAUGAGAUGGGCCCGCGUCUGAUUAGCUAGUUGGUGGGGUAAAAGCCUACCAAGGCGACGAUCAGUAGCCGGCUUGAGAGAGUGACCGGCCACAUUGGGACUGAGACACGGCCCAAACUCCUACGGGAGGCAGCAGUGGGGAAUAUUGGACAAUGGGGGAAACCCUGAUCCAGCGACGCCCGCGUGAGUGAAGAAGUAUUUCGGUAUGUAAAGCUCUAUCAGCAGGGAAGAUAAUGACAGUACCUGACAAAGAAGCCCCGGCUAACUACGUGCCAGCAGCUGC